GGAAAUGUGUGUCCUAUAUAUAUAUAUUUUGAAUUGUUAUAACAAAAGAAGAAUAAGCGUUAAAAAAAAAAAUUUUUGUUUUUUUAUAAUUGAAAAAAUAACAAUUUCGUGUGGCUCGAGAGGAUGAUACCACGAAAUUAGUCUUUUAGACUGAUGAAUUUUUUUUUUCAGCAAAAGUUUUAAGUGAUUUAAAUUGUUUCUAAAUAAUAAUUUAUUUACACUUGUCUACCUCUUUACAUGAGUAUACAAAAGCGGAGAAUCGCUAUCGCAAGAGACUAAAACUGAAUUAUUAAAAUUCCUACAGAUAAAAACAAUGCAAUUACUCCCCCUAAUUUAUUUGGAAUUGAAUGCAAAAUUGCAUAAGCAAAUAAAAAAUAUCAUUCUGGUUGAAUAUGAAUAGGUGUAACCAUUGAAUUUGCAACAUUAAAAUUUUGAUGAAAUUACAUUUAUAUUUACUUCAUACAGAAACAAUUAAAUUAAAACAAAAAAAAAAAAAAAAAAAAAAAAAAA